GCUUAACCAACUGAGCCACCCAGGCGCCCUAUUGUAGUUAUUAAUAAAACAUCACUCCACAAAUCUUACCGAGGGUUAAGCCUAUCUGAACUGAUCACAUGUUGGCUGGAUUCUGAUGCAUGUCACCUUUUGAUGUGACAUUGAAGACCCAUGCUCUGCACGUCUUUCUAUUCUUCCAUUCUCAGAGUUCCGGCAAUGACUAUCCUCUUGGUUGUAAUACAGCUGCCUCUGCUUUAAACAUCAUGUCCUCUCGGCAUAAUUUCAGACAAGAUGAAAGAAAGCAGGCAACAAAAAGGGCCUCCUCCUUAUGUACUUCCUUUAUGCUGCGGAAGGAAAUCUUCCCAAGAAGGGCCCUUUGCAAACUUCUUUUUAUGUGCCAUUGACCAGAAAUGUGUCACAUUUGGUCAUUAGACCAAUCGCUCCCAAAGGAAGUGUGGUAACUGUGAUUGGCUGAGAAGAGUCAUGAUUCAUUCACUGGGGCUAGAACAAGCAAAGAGGAGGCAUGGUACGUGGGUGGGCAGGGUCUGCCAUACCUUUUUUGUCAUUUUCUUCUUAUGUCUGUUUGGUUUACCAGUUCCUAAUCCAGUGCCUGACCUAAAAUAAGCAUUCAAUAUGUAUUUAUUGGGGAAUGAGUAAAGUAAUGCAUGGAUAAAUAAUGACUAGAAUAUCCUUCUCCUUGCCUUUCCCCCUAUUUAUUCUUUUGGUUUCCUCAUUUCUCUGAGUCUGAUGUAGGCAGUCCUGGAGCUAUUCUUUCUAUCUGCAGAUGAUGCUUCCUAAAUUUGGUAACAUGGUUAAGAGGUGAAUAUGGCCUAUCACACUGUCCAUUUUCAGCCUUUGGUGUAGGUUGGUCAGUGUGGUCAAGGAGAGGACAGGUAGGUGAGGCUGGUUAUGCACUCAAGGACUGCAUGCACAGCCAAGACAGGAAACCAAGGUAGUCCAUUCCCUUCAGUCCUCUCCCUGGGCAGUUCUCUAUGAGUUUUUAAACUCCUGUGUUAGAAUGUUAACAAAAUAACAGGAUCUGUGGAAAAUAUUAAAGGGAUAUGGUUUGAUAUGCACCAGGCAUCUUGGAAGCAUUUGUUACCAAGCAUUUAAUGAGAUUAUUAUAAGCCCCUUCCACUUAGCUCAUAGCUCAAAAGGUCUAAACACCAUUUCUAGGUAUCCCUUUGUUAAUCUAGUUUGAAUGAAGCACUAGGAAAUAUUUCUUUAAAUAAGUGACUAUCCUGGGUUAUUCAUGAUUUCAGUCUUGUUUAUCCCCUGCUGUUGGACCAAAGUGGGGACUUUAUGCUCAAUCCUGGAGUAUCCCUGGGAAGGAGAUAGAAUGAUGAGGAGUUGUCUAAUCUGAGUGGAAUCUGAUCUCUGUCACUUAUUAGCUAUGACAUCCUGGGCAAGUUGCUUAAUACAUCCAAGCCUCAAUUUUCUCACCUACAAAAUGGGACAAUAAUUGAGGGCGGUUCUGGCGCAAUGACUACAACAAAGAAAGGAUGCAACAAAUGCUGUCUGUAGUUGCUGUUGCCACAUGCUAUAGUCAUCAGUUUGCCAUUGAAAUGAGCACUUUUUUUUUUUUACAAAGACAUCUGUGGUUGUUAUCUUUGAAAAAAGAUGAUGCCAUUUAGGAAAACCCAAAGUCAGUCCAUCCAACAACAGCCAGCUUAGUGUGAGGCACUUCUUGCAUUCUCGGCAUGGUGCUGGGCACUGGGAUUAUCUUUAGAACCUGGUGGGGCCUCAUGUUGCCGAGAAUGACUCUGACUGGUCACUGAAGGGUGGUUAAAAAACAUCUGUAGAAUCUGAUGUUUAUUUUGCAGAAAUGAAGUUCUUUGGGCUGAAUUGACUGAUCAUGUCACCCAAAAUGGCCCCUUAGGAUUGAAUCUAUUCUGAAUUGAUUCUGUCCUGCAGUUGGGACUUUUACUUUAACCAAGAGUAUGUCAUGUGGCAGCAUGGAGAAGAGGGGUGUUCAGGAGCUGGGCAAAGUCAAUCUUCACCAUGCCUGUCUACCCCCUAAGACAUCGUCACUUCAGGCAAGACUGCUCAUUAUUCUGGGCCUCUUAAUCUCUAACAUGAGCAUUUAAAUACCCACCCAUGGCAUUUAACUGGCUAUUGCAGAGUAAAAGAUGAAAUGAUUUCGUUGUAAUUAUUAUUAUGGUUACUUAUGCUGGUCUGAGAGGAGAUUUCUUUCAGAUGCUAGAAAGCCUUUGGGUCAAGGAGCAUGAGAACAAUUGUUCUUCUAUGGCAAGUUCUUUCCAACUCUCCAUGUCAAUUCAAACUAACUAAAGGGAUAUGUUUAAAAAUAUUUCUGACUUGACCACCUGGAACUCUGAAUGGACUAGUGUAGAUGUUUGGGUCCUCUGAGAAGCACACACUAAGACAGGGUUAGAUGCCCAAGACAGUCACUGGAGGAAACACCUGUGAAGAGAAAGAGGGAGGAAGUAGGAGGAGGCAGGGAGAGGCUUCAGACCCUGAUGCAGGUCUCACACCUGUGAAAGGAGAGGAGGAAGGAAAGGACCAGCAGAAAGAGUCCGAGACGGAAGUUCUUUUCUAAAAUCCAGUAUUUGGAUAGAGCCCAAAUUGCCCAUGUGAGCAGCUCCAUGUCCUGAAGAAAUGGGCCUGGACUUGAACCCUUGUCAUGCUUAGUCAUUGGCAGAGAGUAGCCUGUGGGAGGUGUGUCCUUGGCAUGAACACAGUAGCGGAUCCAGCAGCUGGAACAUUCAGUCAACUAUGCUUCCCAUCUAAGGAGACCUGAGCAAUACAAUUUCAUGGCUACCCAGCAGAUUGUCAGACAUUUCCUCUUUGAACUCACAUCUUAGGGAGUUUGAAAAACAAAACAGGACAUUUGUGAUAGUAUCCCCAAAUCAAUGUUCCAUUCCCUUCUUUGACUUUCACUUCCCCCUCUGUUUCAGCUAGACCAAUCAUGUUGAAAACCCCACCCAGGUUUGUAAAGUUCCUCAUUUGACAAUUAAAAAAAAGUAUGUGAAUAAGGCACAUGCACUUCUUUUGUUUUAUCUUUUGAAUGAGUUAUUUUGCUUUCUUGGGUUUUCUUGGAUUUCAUGUUUUCCUCUUCUUUCCCCAUCCACCACUGCCUGUUCCUCACAGCUGUGUUCCUGAUGCCUGAUGUGAUAUUUGUGGAAUAAAUGGGUAUUAGUGAACAGGCUAUAAAACUCAAAUCCCCUUCAAGUCUGUGAGCUCCUUUGUGUCAGGGUAUUUGUCUUAGGGCGAUGACAUAUAAUGGAAAGACCAUAGAUUUUGUUCUAUGAUCAGACACAAAUUAGCUGUGUGAUGUUGGGCAAAUUGCACCACCUCUCUGAGCCCGAGUUUCCCUUUUUGACUAAUAAAACUAGUAAUAAUAUCUAGCUCAUUGAAAUGUAAAUGAGAGAGUGAUCAUACACGUGAAGUUCUCAGCACAGUGCCUGGCACAUUGUAGGUGCUUACUAAAUGACAGAUAAUGAAUGAAUGAGCCUGAGGAAUACAUAACACAUAAUUUAAUAUGUAAUGCAUAACACAUAAGGCUUUGCUCCUUUCCCUGCCCUCCUGCAAUGGCCUGACCCUUAUCUGGUCACAAAAGAUCCAGGUAAGAAAAAGUAGAUGGACAAAGGAUUGGAACAUAACAGCAAACAAGCCAAUAUCGAGGACCUACUGUGUGCAGCCACUGGGCUAAUCACUGUAGGACAAGUAGAGAUGACUGAGAUAUAUUCCCUCUCCUCCAUCUCACUUGAGGUGCCUAAAGUGGCAUCUCAAUGUGGCAUUAGGUGUUUGAAGAUCUUGAUGGAUGGACACAUGGGGUGAAAGAUAGCAUCAUCACAGGAUGAGGAUAAUGGUUUGGAGAGUGUUGAGGAGACCAGGAUGUGGGGAAGCAGGGAAAGAUACAGCUGGAAAGUUGCUUGGGAUCAAAUCCAUGUAGGUUCUGAAUGCCCUGCGGAGGAAAUUAGACUUGAUUCUGUAUAUAAUGGUAUGUCAGUCAAGGUUCUUGACAAGAUAAGUGGACGGGAAUUUCUGCCAGGUGGAUUGUCAUCAAGUGUUCUGCCCAGUGAAAAAGAAGAACUGCAAUAAUUCAAGGUACUGAUUUUGAGUUCCUUGUUCACCUCAGAUUUCUCUUCACUGAUCAGCUCUUUACAUAUUAUUUUUAGAACUCUCAAAAUGGCAGCCACAGGAACACAGACUAUCCAAAACAGAAGAAAAAGGGAAUUAAGAUGAAGGGGAAUACCUUCUUCAGCGAAUACUAGUUAUUUACUUUGGGUUUGGCCACUAAUCUCAGGACAGAAAUGAAUGAAAAUUUACCCAAAAGACACAUGAGCAUGAAGAGUUAAAUCAAAAAAAGAAAAAAAUACUUUGGACUUUUACUUUAAAAUACACCUUUGAAUUUAACAAUCUGUAACUUGCUCCUUUCCUUCCACUUAGCAAGCUUCUCGAGCACCCUUCUCCUCCUCAUGUUCUGGGAACAAUGGAUGUUUCAUAUAAAAAUAGGUGUAAGUCACUGUGUGAAUAAAAUGAAUAAAUAUGAUGUGCCUCGAAACAGUACCUCAUUGGAAGCUGCAUUCUUCCCUUAGCCUGAGGGGAUGUGUAGCUUACAUUUGCGUGUUGCCUUGGUGUUUGAAGGCUUCUGUGAACAUUUAGCUCAUUUGUUUUUUGCAGAAUUUUUUUUAAUUGUAAAAAAAGUGUUUGUAUACUGUACAAAUUUGCCAUUUCUCCUUCUUUUACCCCAGGGUAAAUCAAAAGGAACCAUACAGUCAAUGAAUCACAAUGAACAUCCCUUAGCUGGUCGCCUUGCCCCUUUCUAGUCUCUUAUUUAUGCUACAUCCAGGUCUUCUUUCAGGAACUCACAUGUGUAACAUCCUUUGGUGACUUCCUCAGUGGUCACAGGAUAAAGUUCCAGUCCCUUCACAGGGUGGAGGUCAAAGGGCUUGGCCAACAUCAUCCCUUUGAGCUUUCAUGCUCCAAUGGGGACUUUUUAAAGGAGGAAGUUAAAGAAAUAUGGGCCAUAGAAGAAAAUGCUACAUGAGAAUUAAGGUAACCAAAGAACUGCCUGUAUUUGGAUAUUCUCUAAGUAAGACAGUGUUUGGUCGGCCAGAGGUGGACCUUGGCUCUUGGACUGAUUGAACUCUGAUUAUAUCCUGAGUUCUACCACCUGUCACUGCUCUUCUGAAAUUAUAAAGGGAUUAGGUCUUGUGUCUAUUCAACAAACAUUUUCUGUGUCCCAACUAUAUAUCAGGAUUUGUGUUGUGUGCUACACUAGGGGUUGUAGAUGGAGGCACAAAAUGAAAUUGAAAUGGUCCUUCUUGAGGAUGGUGCAGUCUGAUGGGGUAGACACAUAUGUCCAUAUAUUUUCCAAAGCAAUGUAUUAAUGGAUCAGAUGGCAAGAAGCACAGGGUGCCAUGGGAGCCCCGAGGAGGAACACAUCCUUAGCCUGAGCUAAGGGUGUUGGGAAUGGCCAGGGAGCGUCGUCUAAAGGAACUGAUACAUCAAUGUCUUCUCUACUAUUGGUCCAGCUUUAAAAUUAUAGCCUCUCAAAGCUGGCUACCCCUGAGGUCACAGUACCUAUCAAACUUAAUUAUCAUCCCUUGGGUCAUUAUCUGAUCUACUAUAAACUUCAAAAGACAGAGAUUGUUUCUAUUUUGCUCGUAAUGUGUCUCAACCACGUAACAGUACUCACACCGUAUAGGUACCUUAUAAAUAUGGGUGGUGUGUUAAGGGAGAAAAUGUUAGCACAUGGAUUUCACCCUCUCCCUCUCAGUGCUAAGGGGAAUUCUGUUGUAAUAUUUAAUGACUGCUUUCUGCAUUCCUAACUCUGAGCCAAGUCUAGAAGGAAACAACAAAAAAGGAAAAGUGUGUGGAAUGUUUGGACCAAACCGAACCUUGGACAUCUGCUGAUUCUAUGCCUCAUUUCUACAGAUAGAAAGUUGAAGUUCAGAGAAGUUACACUAUUAGUGCAAGGUCUUCCAGUUACAGAUAUGUAGGGAGGACGCACAAAGAAUUCUGGGAAGGACUCAUUUCUUUUGCUAUCACACAGAAUGCUUCCAAAUUCUAAAGGAGUCUCAUCUUGCAGCCAGGAAGAUAAUGAUGCUUUUAGAAGAAGCUGAUUCAAGGCCCUCUAAGAAGGGAUUCCCCCAACUACACAAUGAUGUUUUUGAAACAACUGGUCUGCAAGUCCCCUGGGGAGUCUCCACAGUGCUCUUCUGUCUUGGCGAGGACACAGGAUUCUGGCUCCAAGGAGACCUGUUAGGAUCUGACCAGCGGUUCCAGGGAUGCAUCCUGUUUUCUCCUCGAAUUCUAUGCAUGGUCUCAUGAUGGUAAUUUCUACAGUGACCCAAGAGGAUUGAUUCCCAUCCAGAACCUUGUUACAUUGUUUCAGGAAAACUUUCCCAACACCUGAAGAAUUUCUGUGUUCCCCCCUCCCUGUCUGAGAUACCUACUUACCAUAUCACCAGCUUCUGGAUCUACUGUGUCUGGGAUCCAGGUUGAAGCCA